UACGUAGGGGGCAAGCGUUGUCCGGAUUUACUGGGCGUAAAGGGCGCGUAGGCGGCCACCGCAAGUCGACUGUGAAAUCUCCGGGCUUAACUCGGAAAGGUCAGCCGAUACUGCGGGGCUAGAGUGCAGAAGGGGCAACUGGAAUUCUCGGUGUAGCGGUGAAAUGCGUAGAUAUCGAGAGGAACACCUGCGGCGAAGGCGGGUUGCUGGGCUGACACUGACGCUGAAGCGCGAAAGCUAGGGGAGCGAACGGG
rnacentral:rRNA from 1 species